UAUAUAUAUAAUUGAAGCAUAGCAAGACAAGAACACAGCCGCCCAAAGAACCAAAAACUUCUCUGAUCCAUUGUUGAAGAUGAAGCAGAAUCCAAAGGCGAGGAGAUAUAGCUCUCGGUGUAAUCGGCAGUGUGUCAACGUUAGGUCUGCUUUUGUAGCAGCACAUGUACGGGAAGAAGGAAUCCAUUUCAGGAUUAAGACCAAGCAAGGAAAGAAAAACUGAAAGAAUUCUCCAAUGGAUUACACUGUCGAUAUGAUCUGUGAUGAAAGUAGACAGAAACUACGAGUUUUGUCGGAAAAAAAUGACAGAAAUAAUGCACGGAUGCUUUGUGUCAACGGUACGGUACGUCUUGUCUUCUUUUGUUUUUGUUUUUUAGUUUUUAUUUGAGACUUUUAAUUAGCAUAAUAUCCUUCAAAUUAGUUAGAUAGAAAUUUGAUAAGAGACUUUUUUUCUGUUUAUCUUUUGUUGAUCUGAGACUUCUAUUGAUUAGAUAGAAAUUUAUGUCUUUCAAAUGUUAUUUUCAUUUCUAACAGUGAUUCGAAUAUGAGAACAAUCUCAACUUUAUUAUAUAUUUGAGUUUGAACGCGCGCGCCCAAAUGUUUUUCUUUUUAGUGUGUAAAAAUUAUGAGUUGGUUUUAUAUAUAGAAGGUUUUGUAGUUUUUUAAAUAAAAAAAACUUAACCAACAUAUAGUUAGUUUAAUGUUGUAACUCUCAUCUCAAUUAGUCUACUCUAUCUAUCUAUUAUGUCUUUUUAAAAAAAUCUCUACUAAAUGUUUAUACUAUGUAAGCAAAACAUUGAAAUCAUUAGCUUAUCUUAAAUGUCUUACUCAAAAAUGACGACUACACUUUUAAUCCCCCAUUCAUUUUGAUACUAUU